UCGACGUAACGUAUCACGUGUGUAAAAAUGGCGGCUUGCAGUGGCAGGUCGUGGGUAGUGAAAUACAACUGUAUAUUCUGACUUUGACUUUCUGUUUGUUUAGUUUCGAGAUUAUUUUUUUACGUAUUUUUAAACGCGGUUCGGCUUAAUGACAUGUGGCAGCAUUAGCGGUUGAAUGAGCGGUUUAAACUUGCAGUAGCUGCUGUCAGAAGCAGCUGUGGGCUACUCGAGUGUUUUUAAGUAGGAGAGAAGAUGUUUUCACCUUGUUGGUCACGACUGUCCUGCGUGGCUUUGUCCAGCCGAGGAGGUCUGAGGACGCUGAGUCUGUUCUCCAGCUCUGGAUCCUCAAACUGGAGCAAAGUUGUCUCCGAUGCUGAGAAGAUCGUGGGAUAUCCGACUUCCUUCAUGAGCCUCCGCUGCCUCCUCAGUGACGAGCUCAGUAACGUUGCCAUGCACCUGAGGAAGUUGGUCGGCACUCAGCACCCUCUCCUCAACACUGCCAGAGGCUUCGUCUAUGACAGUAAGAACAACCUUCAGAUGAGGGGACUGGUUGUCCUGCUGCUGUCUAAAGCCGCAGGGCCAAGCCACGCCGCCUCCGAUCUCCUAGCCCAAGACAUGGUCAGCGGCAUCUACCCCAGUCAGAGGAACCUGGCAGAAAUCACAGAGUUGAUCCAUACAGCCUUCCUGGUGCAUCGUGGGAUUGUUAACUUGAAGGAGUGGACGGACUCAGACGGCCCGCUGAAGGACAUGCAGUUUGGGAAUAAGAUGGCUGUUCUGAGCGGCGACUUUCUGCUGGCCAAUGCUUGCACGGGACUGGCCCAGCUCAACAACACUAAGGUCGUUGAAUUGAUCUCCAGUGCCAUUGGUGAUUUGGUUCAAGGAGUCUAUUAUGAGAAUUCCCACAAUACAGAGGAGAACGGCCUCACCGACGGCAUCGACGUGGCGGCGUGGGAGGAGCAGACGUUCCUGUCUCAUGGGGCGCUGCUAGCCAAGAGCUGUCAAGCUGCGAUGGAGCUCGCCAAACACGACAAAGAGUCUCAAAGACUGGCCUACAAGUACGGCAAACACCUGUCGCUGGGCCACAAGCUGAACUCUGACCUGCAGCCGUUUAUGAAGAGCAGAGUAGGAGAGCCGCUGUCAUUUAGUCUGAGCGCCGCCCCGGUCGUUUUCCACCGUCAAAUUAUGGGCCGGGAGACGUGGCAUCAUCAGCUGCAGCAGGCAAAAACUUUGAGAAACCAGCUGGAUUACUCAAAGGAGACUCAAGGCGGCAAAGACAGACAAAUCUUGUUCGGAGCAUGAAGAAAGAACAGGAUGUGGAACCAAACAUAACGCGCAAACAGAGGAGGGAGGGAGGAAACGUUAAAAACUAAUGCCGAAUUAAACAAGCUUUUGGCAGCGGUUAAAUCGGAGAAAGGCGUGAGCACAGCGAUGGACUUGUGCUGUUACCAUGGCAACAAGGCUCUGGAGGCCAUCCAGGCUUUCCCCUCCUCCGAGGCUCGAUCCGCCUUGGAGAACAUCGCCUCUGCCGUCACCAAAUUUUGACCUGGACACACACACACACACUCCUGUACAGCCUGGAGGGGUCUUUGUCUGCAGAGGCCAAAGAACGAGAACAGAUUAACUUUGUUUUACUCGAUCCAGAUGCUGAGAAACUGUUCUGCUCUCUGGUCAUCAUUAAAUAAAAAAGUUUUUUUUAAAAACCCCACAUUA